CCUACGGGUGGCAGCAGUGAGGAAUAUUGGUCAAUGGACGAGAGUCUGAACCAGCCAAGUAGCGUGAAGGAUGACUGCCCUAUGGGUUGUAAACUUCUUUUAUAUGGGAAUAAAAUGUUCCACGUGUGGGAUUUUGUAUGUACCAUAUGAAUAAGGAUCGGCUAACUCCGUGCCAGCAGCCGCGGUAAUACGGAGGAUCCGAGCGUUAUGCGGAUUUAUUGGGUUUAAAGGGAGCGUAGGUGGAUUGUUAAGUCAGUUGUGAAAGUUUGCGGCUCAACCGUAAAAUUGCAGUUGAAACUGGCAGUCUUGAGUACAGUAGAGGUGGGCGGAAUUCGUGGUGUAGCGGUGAAAUGCUUAGAUAUCACGAAGAACUCCGAUUGCGAAGGCAGUUCACUGGACUGCAACUGACACUGAGGCUCGAAAGUGUGGGUAUCAAACAGGAUUAGAUACCCUAGUAGUC
rnacentral:rRNA from 1 species